CGAAGUUAACCACCCUGUAACAACAUACAUACAUCUUUACACAGGUAAACCACAACACACACGGCAACUGAGGAUUAUAAUGUAUCUGAGGAAUAUAACGUCUCACUCCAUGUCAGCAAUAGAACAGCACUGAGCAGGCUUUCCCGACCUGCGACCUGAGUUCAGCUAAAAUUAUUUAUUCAAACAAUCUGUUUGCCUGCAAUGUAUGGAGAUUUUAAAAUUGCAAAGAACGAUCAAGCAGAACCGCCAUGACAAAGCACCGGCCUCUAUGGUGCUGUUCCUGAUCAGCGAAUAUAAAGCUAUUGAUUAAGAUUACUGUUGCAGUGAGAAGCAUCAUGCUGGGCGACUCUGUUGGCGGACUCCAAGGAGGCUUCACACCGUCUUCGAGAGUCCAUGUGGGGGUGCUUCACAUAACGAUGCACCUGCAUAGCUAUGUAAUCAGUCACCAGGGCAAACUUAUUUCAUAGACACCCCAGGUCUCAGCCUGAGGUCUCAGCCCGGGGUCUCACCUCGAGGACUUGGCCGUCCUUACCAUGGAGUCUUAUGCUGCAACUCAAUAAGAAUUCCAUUUACAUAAUUGUAUGCAU
rnacentral:lncRNA from 1 species